CAGGCCGGCCGGUCGGUCGCGUCUUCCCCCCUCGGGGAAGAUGAGGAAAGUCCGGGCUCCACAGGGCAGGACGCUGGGUAACGCCCAGGCUUCAGGGGAGGAAUCCCCUGGGGACGGAAAGUGCAACAGAAAAGACACCGCCGAUGGUUCGCAAGAACACAGGCAAGGGUGAAAUGGUGCGGUAAGAGCGCACCGGCCUUCCGGUGACGGAAGGUUCUGGAAAACCCCGUCUGGAGCAAGACCUAACAGGGGGACGGAGUGGCCCGUUCCAAUUCCCCCGGGUUGGUCGCUCGAGGUCACGGGUAACCGUGAUCCCAGAUAGAUGACCGACGCCCCUCACGGGGCACAGAACCCGGCUUACAGGCCGGUCUGCCUU
rnacentral:RNase_P_RNA from 1 species